rnacentral:rRNA from 1 species
GAUUAACGCUGGCGGCAUGCCUAAUACAUGCAAGUCGAAUGGUAGCAAUACCAUGGCGAACGGGUGAGUAACACGUAGGUAACCUGCCUUUAAGACGAGGAUAACCGUUGGAAACGACGGAUAAUACUGGAUAGGACAGCACAAAUCGCAUGAUUAGUUGUUUAAAGGAGCAAUCCACUUAAAGAGGGGCCUGCGGCGCAUUAGCUAGUUGGUGAGAUAAAAGCCCACCAAGGCGAUGAUGCGUAGCCGGACUGAGAGGUUGAACGGACACAACGGAACUGAGAACGGUCCAU